rnacentral:piRNA from 1 species
UGGCCGGCUGCUGUGCCCACUGGGUCC